rnacentral:rRNA from 1 species
ACGGGAGGCAGCAGUGGGGGAUAUUGCACAAUGGGGGAAACCCUGAUGCAGCGACGCCGCGUGAGUGAUGAAGUAUUUCGGUAUGUAAAGCUCUAUCAGCAGGGAAGAAAAUGACGGUACCUGACUAAGGAGCUCCGGCUAAAUACGUGCCAGCAGCCGCGGUAAUACGUAUGGAGCAAGCGUUAUCCGGAUUUACUGGGUGUAAAGGGAGCGUAGACGGUUUGCCAAGUCUGAUGUGAAAGGUGGGGGCUCAACCCCCAAACUGCAUUGGAAACUGGUAGACUAGAGUGUCGGAGAGGUAAGUGGAAUUCCUAGUGUAGCGGUGAAAUGCGUAGAUAUUAGGAGGAACACCAGUGGCGAAGGCGGCUUACUGGACGAUAACUGACGUUGAGGCUCGAAAGCGUGGGGAGCAAACAGGAUUAGAUACCCUGGUA